rnacentral:rRNA from 1 species
UGGGGAAUAUUGGACAAUGGCGCAAGCCUGAUCCAGCCAUGCCGCGUGGAGUGAUGAAGGGCCCUAGGGUUCGUAAAGCUCUUUCACCGGUGAAGAUAAUGACGGUAACCGGAGAAGAAGCCCCGGCUAACUUCGUGCCAGCAGCCGCGGUAAUACGAAGGGGGCUAGCGUUGUUCGGAUUUACUGGGCGUAAAGCGCACGUAGGCUGGACUUUUAAGUCAGGGGUGAAAUCCCGGGGCUCAACCCCGGAACUGCCUUUGAUACUGGAAGGUCUUGAGUAUGGUAGAGGUGAGUGGAAUUCCGAGUGUAGAGGUGAAAUUCGUAGAUAUUCGGAGGAACACCAGUGGCGAAGGCGGCUCACUGGACCAUUA